UACGUAGGGGGCAAGCGUUGUCCGGAUUUAUUGGGCGUAAAGAGCGUGUAGGCGGUUAGGUAGGUCCGUUGUGAAAACUCGAGGCUCAACCUCGAGACGCCGAUGGAAACCAUCUGACUAGAGUCCGGAAGAGGAGAGUGGAAUUCCUGGUGUAGCGGUGAAAUGCGCAGAUAUCAGGAAGAACACCCGUGGCUAAGGCGGCUCUCUAGUACGUGACUGACGCUAGACGCGAAAGCGUGGGGAGCGAACAGG
rnacentral:rRNA from 1 species